GACGAACGCUGGCGGCGUGCUUAACACAUGCAAGUCGAGCGGUAAGGCCCUUUCGGGGGUACACGAGCGGCGAACGGGUGAGUAACACGUGGGUGACCUGCCCUCAGCUCUGGGAUAAGCCUGGGAAACUGGGUCUAAUACUGGAUAUGACUCCACGGUGCAUGUCGUGGGGUGGAAAGCCUUGUGCGGCUGAGGAUGGGCCCGCGGCCUAUCAGCUUGUUGGUGGGGUGAUGGCCUACCAAGGCGACGACGGGUAGCCGGCCUGAGAGGGCGACCGGCCACACUGGGACUGAGACACGGCUCAGACUCCUACGGGAGGCAGCAGUGGGGAAUCUUGCGCAAUGGGCGAAAGCCUGACGCAGCGACGCCGCGUGAGGGAUGACGGCCU
rnacentral:rRNA from 1 species